UUGUAUAUAAGGUUUUAGGUCUACUUAUGUCAGUUCGUAUCGUUGCAUCCUAUGUGAACUUGUCACAAAAUUGUCAUAGUUACAUGCAUAGUAAGCACAUGUUACAUGUUGGUUCUCUCAGGCCUUUAGGGUAUCGAGUGCUUGUCCGUCUUAAUUGGAUUUGAGGCGUGACAUUAUCCUUUUCUCUCAUUUCUACAGGCAUUGAUUUGAUCCAAGAUGAGUACAGGACUUCCCAUUGAGAUUAAAUCUUUCAUGAAAAGUGAAAAUUAUACCUCAUUCUGUAGGCUGGAUAUUGAUAAUUACAAGAAAACGAAGACCGGUGGCAUGGUGCUGAAAUCCAGAUUGUCGUUGAAAGGAACUGGACAACGUACCGAGAAAAAUGUGCUUAUAAGGUUCACCAGAAGAACAUACAUAAUGCCUUCAGUUCCUCUUGAGACCAAGUACCAUCCAUCUGAUGUGGACAUACUUCUUAUCAAACGGCUUAUAACGGAAACAUCAAAACACUCUUUUGCAGUUUUCCUUCAGCAUGAAUUUGUGGCAGUCUCAUGCAGAACGUUUAAUCGUGAAGAGAUUGGCAGAAGUAAAUUUAAUCCCAUGAUUGGUCUGGGUGACCAUGAACGUAGAGAUGAAGCCCUAUAUGAUGAUUUUGAGACAGCAAAGGCUCGUGAGAAAAGACUUGCCAAGGAAGCUCGGGUUCUAGAGAUUCAAGCAAAGAAUGUUGCUCUUGGGAAGAAAGGAAAAGAUCCUGCAGCUACAAAGGCAGCUAAGGGCAUGGAGGCUUCAUAUUAUAGGGUGACAUGCAAGGCAUUGAUUUGGUCCAAGAUGAGUACAGGAAAAUUAUACCUCAUUCUGUAGGCUGCAUCACAAGUAUGAGAUCACUUAGAAAUAGAAAGCUAUAUUUAAGAAUGCAUGGUAACACAGGAUUAUAUUGAUUUUGUUUUUCAAGGUAUAUUUCUGUAUUACGCCUUCUUUUCAGAAAUGUUCCUCACAUUACAUGAAAAACGGAAAUACAAAGACCGGUGGCAUGGUGCUGAAAUCUAGAUUGUCAUUGAAAGAACUGGACAACGUACCGAGUAUGUAGUUCUUGAAUAAUUGUGACAGAAGUUCUCCUAAGUUUCACCUCAUUCAUGCAUUGAAAGCAAACUUAGUCAAAUAAUUCAACUUUUAUAUUUCUGAAAACUGAUCUUUUCUUUCAGUGUUUACAGUCCAAAGUAUUGCAUUAUAUGCAACAAAUGGUUGUCAUCACGCCCUAUGCCCAAUUCCUUUUCCAAUUCAUAUCAGAUUCUCCUGAGGAAAAUGUGAUUAUAAGGUUCACCAGAAGAACAAACAUAAUGCCUUCAGUUCCUCUUGAGGCAAAGUAAGUACCAUCCAUCUGCUGUGGACAUACUUCUUAUCAAAUGGCUAUAACGGAAACAUCAAAACAGACUCUUUUGCAGUUCCUUCAGCAUGAAUUUGUAAACAUUGGGAAGUCUCAUCUGAAUGUUUAAUCGAUGAGAACUUGAAACUGAUUGCAUUCAUCUGUGUGAGAUUCCUUGGUAAAAUAAAAUUAGUUGGCUCUAUGGCUUAUUUAUUGACCAUUGAAAAUAGUUUAUCUAUUGCUUGCAUUCUAUUCAGCUACAAUUAGACGACAGUCUGUUAUAGUGGUUACUUAUUGCUCAGUGCUCACCAACUCAAUGCAGUUGGAAAAAGAUAUAAAAUUGUCCUUUAGGUCACACCCCAAUUUAGGGGUACAUAAUACUGAACAAAGCACAAUGACAUUCUACCCAUUCAUGAACAUUACAAUAUAAUAUUUCAUAAAAUGUUUGAUCAUCAUUCAAUUAAAUAUAUGAAGUCUUGGAAGUAUCAAAACAGUGUGCGGAAUCAAAGUAAAUAAUACAUAUCACUAUCAUGUCUUAUGCACGUAGCUAGACCUCAUAGUACAUGCCAUACGACCUCUAAAGUUGUAGUUAAGCAAAUUGAAACAAGGAUAACUAAGGCAAGCAAGGGGUCCAAAUAUUAUCGGU